GAUUGAACGCUGGCGGCAGGCCUAACACAUGCAAGUCGGACGGUAGCACAGAGAGCUUGCUCUUGGGUGACGAGUGGCGGACGGGUGAGUAAUGUCUGGGGAUCUGCCCGAUAGAGGGGGAUAACCACUGGAAACGGUGGCUAAUACCGCAUAACGUCGCAAGACCAAAGAGGGGGACCUUCGGGCCUCUCACUAUCGGAUGAACCCAGAUGGGAUUAGCUAGUAGGCGGGGUAAUGGCCCACCUAGGCGACGAUCCCUAGCUGGUCUGAGAGGAUGACCAGCCACACUGGAACUGAGACACGGUCCAGACUCCUACGGGAGGCAGCAGUGGGGAAUAUUGCACAAUGGGCGCAAGCCUGAUGCAGCCAUGCCGCGUGUAUGAAGAAGGCCUUCGGGUUGUAAAGUACUUUCAGCGGGGAGGAAGGCGGUGAGGUUAAUAACCUUGCCGAUUGACGUUACCCGCAGAAGAAGCACCGGCUAACUCCGUGCCAGCAGCCGCGGUAAUACGGAGGGUGCAAGCGUUAAUCGGAAUUACUGGGCGUAAAGCGCACGCAGGCGGUCUGUUAAGUCAGAUGUGAAAUCCCCGGGCUUAACCUGGGAACUGCAUUUGAAACUGGCAGGCUUGAGUCUCGUAGAGGGGGGUAGAAUUCCAGGUGUAGCGGUGAAAUGCGUAGAGAUCUGGAGGAAUACCGGUGGCGAAGGCGGCCCCCUGGACGAAGACUGACGCUCAGGCGCGAAAGCGUGGGGAGCAAACAGGAUUAGAUACCC
rnacentral:rRNA from 1 species